rnacentral:rRNA from 1 species
CAGUCGCCACGGGAAUACGAAGGGGGCUAGCGUUGUUCGGAAUUACUGGGCGUAAAGCGCACGUAGGCGGCUUGGUAAGUUAGAGGUGAAAGCCUGGAGCUCAACUCCAGAAUUGCCUUUAAGACUGCGAGGCUUGAGCGUCGGAGAGGUGAGUGGAAUUCCGAGUGUAGAGGUGAAAUUCGUAGAUAUUCGGAAGAACACCAGUGGCGAAGGCGGCUCACUGGACGACUGUUGACGCUGAGGUGCGAAAGCGUGGGGAGCAAACAGGAUUAGAUACCCCAGUAGUCCCUGUCUCUUAUAC